UCCUUCGGGAGGCAGCAGUGGGGAAUAUUGCGCAAUGGGCGAAAGCCUGACGCAGCAACGCCGCGUGGGGGAUGAAGGUUUUCGGAUUGUAAACCCCUUUCGACCGGAACGAAUUUCCUUUUGGUAAAUGAUCAGGAGGAUCGACGGUACCGGGAGAAGAAGCCACGGCUAACUCUGUGCCAGCAGCCGCGGUA
rnacentral:rRNA from 1 species